AUUGAACGCUGGCGGCAUGCCUUACACAUGCAAGUCGAACGGCAGCACGGGGCAACCUGGUGGCGAGUGGCGAACGGGUGAGUAAUGCAUCGGAACGUGCCAUUGAGUGGGGGAUAACGUAGCGAAAGUUGCGCUAAUACCGCAUAUUCCGUGAGCAGGAAAGCAGGGGACCGCAAAGGCCUUUGCGCUCUUUGAGCGGCCGAUGUCAGAUUAGCUAGUUGGUGAGGUAACGGCUUACCAAGGCGACGAUCUGUAGCGGGUCUGAGAGGAUGAUCCGCCACACUGGAACUGAGACACGGUCCAGACUCCUACGGGAGGCAGCAGUGGGGAAUUUUGGACAAUGGGCGCAAGCCUGAUCCAGCCAUGCCGCGUGAGUGAAGAAGGCCUGGUU
rnacentral:rRNA from 1 species